rnacentral:misc_RNA from 1 species
GCCUAAUGUGAUUCCUAACAUUACCAUGCGAGCAACCCAGAAAAACAAAAUAUCAUGACCAGUUUCCAGAGCUGAUGUUGGGUAGAAUGUCCUUAGAUCUUCAGUGUCAUCAGGCCAACCUAACACAGAUAAUGGAAAGAGACCCGAGGAAAACCAAGUAUCAAGCACGUCAGGAUCUUGUGUUAAAUGGAACUUCUUUCCUGCAUAAAUUUGUCUAGCCUCCUCCUGAGCCUCUUCCUCAUUUCUGGCAACCACCCAGUGAUCAUUAUAAGCACCAAACUCCUUCAGUUGAUCAUCUUCUAAUGUUGCAUACCAUGCAGGAAUCCUGUGACCCCACCAAAGUUGCCUUGAG